AAUUAAUCCUGUAUAAAUUCUUUUUAAUGCUGUUCGAUCUGCUCCCCAAUCAAUACCAGCCAUACAUCUCAUAAUGUUUCAUAUUGUUUAUCUAUGAUUCUUUCUAUAUGUACUUUCCAUAUCAUUUUUUCACCAAACCAUAGACCUAACAAAUUUGAUAUUUUUGACUUGUUCUAAAACUUGAUUGCAUCGUAUUAGUUUUAUAUUUGAUCUUUUCCUUUUCUGUGUAAACACCAUUGCUUUUGUUUUUUCCACUGAGAACUUAAAUCCCCAUUGAUUUGCCCAUUGUCCUAUUCUAAUAAUCUCAUCCUGUAUUUUCUUUUCAACAAGCAGGUAUGUGAUUGUAACUCUCCGUGGACCAGGUUCAGAACAAUAGUGUUCCGGAAUUAAGGAGAGGAAAACUAACCACCACCCAGGAGUUUAACUAUACAUCCUCCACUGUUCCACUGUUCCGGUUACAACUGAUUGUGCAGGUGGAGAUGGCUUUGAGAGAUUGAGCAAUAACAGGAGGAAUCAUUGUCUACUUUUGACCUCCUUCCAGUCACCAGACGGUUAUCUGGGUUCUCCUCGUAAAGGGAUGAGAGGCAUCCGCCAGCGCAGUAACAGUGAAAUGAUGACGGCAACGAGUGCCGGUCCUUCUCUGGAUGGACGCGCAUGCACCACGAAAACGGCAGCACUUUUUCGAUACACAGAAACGGUGUGUCGGGAGAGAGAGCUUCUUUGACAUGCUAAGAGAGUUCAUCGCAACAGUGGAGUCAUAUAUGCAAGCUUUUCUGCCUGGAAUGUGUGAUUUAAAGCACAAGGAUUUCCUCAACCUCCAGGAUCCACCAUUCCUGUGGAAAUGGGAGUUGGACUGGAAGUGCUGUCGUGCCCGUGAUCGUUGUGCCGCUGAGUCACUGCACUAGGACUGCCAGCAGUCCUUGACCCAGAUGCUGCAGAUCUCCCACGUGAAGGAAGUGGACACACUGAGGCAGCGUCUGCUGGCUCAGGGGCAGAAAAUGGAGGCAGCGUCUGCUGGCUCAGGGGCAGAAAAUGGAGGCAGCGUCUGCUGGCUCAGGGGCAGAAACUGGAGGCAGCACAGCAGCAGAGACUGGCCAAGCUGGAGACCCACCUCUCCAAGAAGGCGCACCUCAUCAAACACUAGUACUCGACACAAACAAAGGAGCCACCAGUGGACGGACGGACGGACGGACGGCCGCACGCACUGCCGUGCGCAGGGUUUGACCACACGCCAAAGAGUAUUCUUCCCAAAGAAUACCCUAGUUUGAGGGCAAAACUAAGGAAGGACAACCCCACUGUUCCGGUUACAACUGACCAUGCAAAGAGGCUGUGGUCAUGUCUAAAGCAUUGCCAUUCCUGUUCCCACUGUGUAUCCCACCCCUCUCAGGGGCAGAAACUGGAGGCUGCACAGCAGCAGAGACUGGCCAAGCUGGAGACCCACCUAUCCAAGAAGGAGCACCCUAGCUUCGGGCGCCAUUUGAGGGCGUCCGUGCCUCAGGGGCGGACGCAAAAAAGUCCAAGCCUGCUUCUAGCAGAGAGGAGGAGGAAAAAGAGAGUUACAAUCUCACCAUUCAGGGAGUAUACAAGGGACGACAUGUCAAGACUGGACAGCUGGCUGCCAUCAAAGUCAUGGACGUCACAGAGGAUAAAGAGGAGGAAAUCAAGCUGGAUAUAUAUAUAUAUAUAUAUGCAACAGCUCCUGCGUGGGAGGAAUGAAUAGGAGGCCCAUUCUCACCCUGUUCAUCUUUUAUAUCAUUUUAUUUAGUUCAUUGUAAAUAUUUGAUUUGAAUGUAUUAUUUGAAUGUAUUUAUUACACUGUAUAUAGUUCAUUUUAUAAAGGUUUAGUGUUCUGUCUUUUGUUACAUAUUGAUUUAUUUGUUAGUUGUGUUUAAUAAAUGUUUUUCUCUAA